AACAAGAUCAUAAAGAAGGAACAUAAUGGACAUUGAUGUCCCGUAAAGAAUGAGAAAGAAAGCCUUUUCGAUGUUUUUCUUGGUAAUCUGGAACCGAUCCCAUCAACCGCAACCUUGUAUUGCUUGACAAGUCAUAAACCUGCAAAGACAUUAAUGCCGCUGCUUCCGGAAAGGUGCAGCCAAGAUGGCAAUGGAGAUUUCGGUAAACCACCGGGGACUAACCCACAAAGAUGGAAUCCAACCUAAGUCCAUUAGCUGGAGCUGGUAAUUCUUGGUUUCCAUAGCCCUGGUUGGAGUUUACCAUAUGCAUGAAGCAAUUUUGUAUGUAAGUAAAUGUCUUCUCAAGUUCUCAACUGAUUCCCCUUGUUUUAUCUUUUACACAGUCAGAGGUAGAACUUAUAUGAA